UAAUACUUUGUGAAUUUUGUGAUGAUGACUUAAUUUGAUAGUUACGUUUUUCAAUAAAGUGUUGUUUUCAAAGAAUAAAAAUUAAACUAUCUGACCUUUAAUGGUGGAGACAUGGAACAAAGUGAGAAGGAUAGUUUUUAAGUAGUGGAGAGAUGAAAAAAUGUGUGGAUAAGGGUGUAGGAAAGAAGGACAGCAGAAGUAAUAAGGAAAAAAAUAUCAUGGGGAUGAGCAAAGCGAGAAAAAAAACAAUAAAGAACAAAUCAACCAUUGGCAACCAAUACAAGCGGUAAAGAAAAAAAAAUCAAUCAUUGCAACCAAUACAAGUUUUCGUAACUUGGUAACUCGAUUAAAAUUUGACUAGUUAUACAUCCAAAUUUAUAACUACUAGAGCUAAGACAACAUAGAACUAUCACUAUUUUCCUCGCACUAUAGGGUUUCUCAACUUCAUACUUGCCAAGUAGAACUUCUUCUUCUAACACACUAAAUUUGUUAUUUGUGUUUGUGUUUAUGUUACUUGGUUUGUUAUUUAUGUUCGUAGAAAUUGGUGUAAUUUAGGAUAACUUUGGUUAAGUAUCUCAUUUUUUGUUUGUUAUUUCUUUUUUUCAUGUUUGUGUAAUUAGCUAAAAAAUUGCCAUAGUUUUCGAUUUUCUUAUGUCAAACUUUGUAUAAUUUAGUAUUUUUUGUAUUUCUCUUUGCAUAAUUCAGUAA
rnacentral:lncRNA from 1 species